GCAUGCGUGGCGCAGCGGUUAGCGCUUCUGUUUUAGAAUUUUUCAACCCGGGUUCGACCCCCCGGUGGGGUCA